AACACAACACGCAAGCAGCAAGUCUUCUUCUCACCAAAGUGUGCGACUGCCUUUGCCAUCCCAAUUCGGCAAGGGGCUGGUAUCUCCCAUCAGCUGCGACGAUAUUCUUUGACGCUGGCUUUGGGAUUUCAGACAAGAAUUCUGUGACUGCUCCCGCCACCGUUUAACAGGUGUAGAAAGGUAAAAGAAUGAGUAAACCACGUAGUGCACAUGCUGAAUAUUGAUUGGAUGAGGACACGUCGAUCCUCAACCAUAUCCUACAUGAGGAUGCAAGGAAGUGCGGGUUCAAUGGUUCGACCCUAAGUGCUCCACGAUUGAAGAAAGUUAUAUGAAUUUUGGAUGAAAUCUAGCAAGAAAGACACUUAUGACGAACAUCGCAUUAAGUCCAAACAACAAAGGUUAAGGACAUACACGAAAAACUUUAGGAACCUCCUUAAUUCUUGCUCCGGCUAUGGUUGGGAUCCUGAAAAUAACACACUUACUUGCCCAGCUGAUAUUUGGCAAAAACAUGUGCUGAUAAUGAAAGAAAAAAUAAAUCUAUAAAUACAGAUAAAGGGGCUUGAACACUUUGACUUGUUAGAAGAGAUAUUUGGAAAUUCAUUUGCCACGGGAAGCCAUGUCGUCUACAGUACAACACCUGUUUCCCCUCGAUGAUCAGAUGAAGCUACUGCAGUGGAUAAUGAACCCUUUUCUUGUGACAACUAUCCUGUUGGUACUGGGCCUGUGAAUAUGUACAAGUACUGGUACUAGCAGUGGGAAGCAGACUAUGGCAGAUACAUCUUUGGCGACUGAUGGUGGAACAUAUACACGCCAUAAAAAAGGUGGUGACUUAUCAUAUUAUAACCAGAAGUAUUUUAUUGAGCAUUUGAAGUGGAAGAGAGACCGGAAGGAAGCAAAAUAAAAACGAGGAGGAACGGGCACAAGCAUCGAUACCUCAUGAGAUUGAUGUCUACUCUGAGCAAGUCGUGAUUACCCAGCUGCAAUUCAUCAUGGAAAAGUACUAUAUUGAUGAUAAGCAAAUAUCUCUAGCUGUACCUCUUUUGCUUGACCCCAGCUUUCGUAAGAUGUUCGUCCAUAUGGCCGAGAAGUUUCAAGCUCAAUGGGUUAAGGACUUGCAGUAAAUUUGAGCAACCGUGAUUGUAAUUUGUUAUAUUGUACUCUAAUGUGAUGAAACACUUAAACUUUAA